UACGUAGGUGGCGAGCGUUGUCCGGAUUUACUGGGCGUAAAGAGCGCGCAGGCGGUCGUUCAAGUCGCGUGUGAAAGCCCCCGGCUCAACUGGGGAGGGUCACGCGAUACUGAUCGACUCGAAGGCAGGAGAGGGAAGUGGAAUUCCCGGUGUAGUGGUGAAAUUCGUAGAUAUUCGGAAGAACACCAGUGGCGAAGGCGGCUCACUGGACCGGUAUUGACGCUGAGGUGCGAAAGCGUGGGGAGCAAACAGG
rnacentral:rRNA from 1 species